UACGUAGGGUGCGAGCGUUGUCCGGAAUUAUUGGGCGUAAAGGGCUCGUAGGCGGUCUGUCGCGUCAGGAGUGAAAACUCGGGGCUUAACCCCAAGCCUGCUUCUGAUACGGGCAGACUAGAGGUAUGCAGGGGAGAACGGAAUUCCUGGUGUAGCGGUGAAAUGCGCAGAUAUCAGGAGGAACACCGGUGGCGAAGGCGGUUCUCUGGGCAUUACCUGACGCUGAGACGCGAAAGCCAGGGGAGCGAACGGG
rnacentral:rRNA from 1 species